ensembl:snoRNA
AAUAAUUUAGCUGGCCAGGGCUCCCUGACCUGUGCAGGGCUCUGCCAUGGGGGUGAUGGCCAGUCCUGGGGUCUGAGUGAUU